rnacentral:rRNA from 1 species
UACGAAGGGGGCUAGCGUUGCUCGGAAUUACUGGGCGUAAAGGGCGCGUAGGCGGUUGUGUGAGUGUGAUGUGAAAGCCCUGGGCUUAACCUGGGAAGUGCAUCGCAAACGACAUAACUGGAGUAUAAGAGAGGGUGGCGGAAUUUCCGGUGUAGCGGUGAAAUGCGUAGAGAUCGGAAGGAACGUCAAUGGCGAAGGCAGCCACCUGGCUUAAUACUGACGCUGAGGCGCGAAAGCGUGGGUAGCGAACAGG